AAUAGAUACCCUGGUAGUCCACGCCGUAAACGAUGUCGACUUGGAGGUUGUGCCCUUGAGGGCGUGGCUUCCGGAGCUAACGCGUUAAGUCGACCGCCUGGGGAGUACGGCCGCAAGGUUAAAACUCAAAUGAAUUGACGGGGGCCCGCACAAGCGGUGGAGCAUGUGGUUUAAUUCGAUGCAACGCGAAGAACCUUACCUACUCUUGACAUCCAGAGAACUUAGCAGAGAUGCUUUGGUGCCUUCGGGAACUCUGAGACAGGUGCUGCAUGGCUGUCGUCAGCUCGUGUUGUGAAAUGUUGGGUUAAGUCCCGCAACGAGCGCAACCCUUAUCCUUUGUUGCCAGCGAUUCGGUCGGGAACUCAAAGGAGACUGCCAGUGAUAAACUGGAGGAAGGUGGGGAGUGACGUCAAGUCAUCAUGGCCCUUACGAGUAGGGCUACACACGUGCUACAAUGGCAUAUACAAAAGAGAAGCGACCUCGCGAGAGCAAGCGGACCUCAUAAAGUAUGUCGUAGUCCGGAUUGG
rnacentral:rRNA from 1 species